rnacentral:rRNA from 1 species
GACGAACGCUGGCGGCGUGCUUAACACAUGCAAGUCGAACGGAAAGGCCCUGCUUUUGUGGGGUGCUCGAGUGGCGAACGGGUGAGUAACACGUGAGUAACCUGCCCUUGACUUUGGGAUAACUUCAGGAAACUGGGGCUAAUACCGGAUAGGAGCUCCUGCUGCAUGGUGGGGGUUGGAAAGUUUCGGCGGUUGGGGAUGGACUCGCGGCUUAUCAGCUUGUUGGUGGGGCAGUGGCUUACCAAGGCUUUGACGGGUAGCUGGCCUGAGAGGGUGACCGGCCACAUUGGGACUGAGAUACGGCCCAGACUCCUACGGGAGGCAGCAGUGGGGAAUAUUGCACAAUGGGCGGAAGCCUGAUGCAGCAACGCCGCGUGCGGGAUGACGGCCUUCGGGUUGUAAACCGCUUUCGCCUGUGACGAAGCGUGAGUGACGGUAAUGGGUAAAGAAGCACCGGCUAACUACGUG